UGAGGUUGGCCCGCAACAUCGGGACUGAGACACUGCCCGGACCUCCACGGAGGGCUGCAGUAACGAAUAUUGGGCAAUGAGCGCAAGCUUGACCCAGCGACGCCGCGUGUAGGAGGGAGUCUUUCGGGAUGUAAACUACUGUCAGGGGGACGAAAGUGUGCUUCGGCACAUUGAUCGAACCCAGAGGAAGUCACGGCUAACUUCGUGCCAGCAGCCGCGGUAAGACGAAGGUGGCAAGCGUUGUUCGGUAUCACUGGGCUUAAAGCGUGUGUAGGCGGAAGCUUAAGCGUUUUGUGAAAUCCCUCGGCUUAACCGAGGAAUUGCUUGACGAACUGGGCUUCUUGAGGCAGGUAGGGGUGCGCAGAACUCUUGGUGGAGCGGUGGAAUGCGUAGAUAUCAAGAGGAAUGCCGGUGGAGAAGUCGGUGCACUGGGCCUGACCUGACGCUGAGACACGAAAGCGUGGGGAGCGAACGGGAUUAGAUACCCCGGUAGUCCACGCCGUAAACGAUGCCUACUAGGUUGUGGUGGUUCUGACGCCAGCACAGCCGAAGCCAAAGUGUUAAGUAGGCCGCCUGUGGAGUACGGUCGCAAGGCUAAAACUCAAAGGAAUUGACGGGGGCUCACACAAGCGGUGGAGCAUGUGGAUUAAUUCGAAGCAACGCGCAGAACCUUACCAGGGUUUGACAUGCUUGGAUGCCGCCGGGGAAACUCGGUUUGGCUGCCUUCGGGUGAGACUUGCACAGGUGCUGCAUGGCUGUCGUCAGCUCGUGUCGUGAGAUGUCGGGUUAAGUCCCUUAACGAGCGAAACCCUUGCCGUUAGUUGCCAGCGGGUCAUGCCGGGGACUCUAACGGGACUGCCGGUGUUAAACCGGAGGAAGGUGGGGAUGACGUCAAGUCAUCAUGGCCUUUAUGCCCUGGGCUUCACACGUGCUACAAUGGUCAGAACAGAGCGGCGCGAGACCGUGAGGUGGAGCAAAUCGCAAAAAUCUGGCCCCAGUUCGGAUUGCAGGCUGGCAACUCGCCUGCAUGAAGGUGGAAUCGCUAGUAAUCGCGUAUCAGCGAUGACGCGGUGAAUGUGUUCCUGAGCCUUGUACACACCGCCCGUCAAGUGAUGGGAGUUGGGAGUACCCGAAGUCGGAUUGCUAACCCCUCGGGGAGGCGUCUGCCGACGGUAAGCCCGAUGACUGGCACUAAGUCGUAACAAGGUA
rnacentral:rRNA from 1 species